rnacentral:rRNA from 1 species
UGAGGAAUAUUGGUCAAUGGGGGCAACCCUGAACCAGCCAAGUCGCGUGAAGGAUGAAGGUCUUAUGGAUUGUAAACUUCUUUUACACGGGAAUAAAGUGGGGGACGUGUCCCCCUUUGCAUGUACCGUGUGAAUAAGGAUCGGCUAACCCCGUGCCAGCAGCCGCGGUAAUACGGAGGAUCCGAGCGUUAUCCGGAUUUAUUGGGUUUAAAGGGUGCGCAGGCGGGAUGUUAAGUCGGCGGUGAAAUUUUGCAGCUCAACUGUAAAAGUGCCUUCGAUACUGGCCUCCUUGAGUGUGGAUGAAGUAGGCGGAAUUUGUGGUGUAGCGGUGAAAUGCUUAGAUAUCACGAGGAACUCCGAUUGCGCAGGCAGCUUACUAAGCCACAACUGACGCUCAUGCACGAAGGCGUGGGGAUCAAACA